rnacentral:piRNA from 1 species
UGGAAUGGAGGCGAGGCACGCAACAG